UACGUAGGUGGCAAGCGUUGUCCGGAAUCACUGGGCGUAAAGCGCGCGCAGGCGGCGAUCUACGUCUGGGGUGAAAGCCCGGAGCUCAACUCCGGGACUGCCUUGGAUACGGGAUCGCUUGAGGAUUGGAGAGGCAAGGGGAAUUCCACGUGUAGCGGUGAAAUGCGUAGAUAUGUGGAGGAACACCUGUGGCGAAAGCGGCUCACUGGACCAUUACUGACGCUGAUGCUCGAAAGCUAGGGGAGCAAACAGG
rnacentral:rRNA from 1 species